UACCCCCCUAGUUCCCCCAUAGCCCCAUUCUCCCCCAUAGACCCCUAUUAAACCUCCCAAAGCCCCUCAUUUACCCCCUCCAUUACCCCCUAUAUCCCCCAAUAGCCCCCCAUUACCGCCACAGCCCCCCAUUACCGCCCCAUAGCCCCGCAUUACUCCCCUUAGCCCCCCCUUAACCCCAUAUACCCCCUAUUAACCCCGCCAUAUCCCCCUAUUACCGCCCAUAGCCCCGCCAUUAUCCCCCAUUUACCUCGCCUACAAUCCCUAUUACCCCAAUAUCCCCCUACACGGCCCAUAAUCCGCACCUAUUACCCCCCAUAUCACCCCAUUAAACGCCCCCAUAUCCCCCAUUAACCCCCAUAAUCCCCCCUAUUACCGGUGCCCAUGCCGCCCAUUACCUAUAUCCCCCCAUAGCCCCAUUACCCCCCAUAGCCCCCAUUGCCCCCCACAGCCCCCCAUUACCCCCAUAGCCCGCUAUUACCCCCAUAUCCCUAUACCCCCCCAUAGCCCCCUAUUACCCCCCAUAGCCCCCCUUAACCCCAUAUCCCCUAUUACCCCCGCAAUCAUCCGCCCUAUUACCCCACCAAUAAGACGCACCAUUACCCCCCCUAUAGGACCCCUAGAGCCCCCAUUACCCAAUCCUAACCUUAAUCCCAAUCCUAAUCCCAAUCCUAAUCCCAUUAAUCCCAUUAAUCCCAAUCCUAAUCCCAUUAAUCCCAUUAAUCCCAAUCCCAUUGAUCCCAAUCCCAUUAAUCCCAAUCCCAUUGAUCCCAAUCCUAAUCCCAAUCUCAAUCCCAUUGAUCCCAAUCCCAUUAAUCCCAAUCCCAAUCCUAAUCCCAUUAAUCCCAAUCCUAAUCCCAUUAAUCCCAAUCCUAAUCCCAUUAAUCCCAUUAAUCCCAUUAAUCCCAAUCCCAUUGAUCCCAAUCCUAUUAAUCCCAAUCCCAUUGAUCCCAAUAUAAUCCCAAUCCCAUUGAUCCCAAUCCUAAUCCCAUUGAUCCCAAUCCUAAUCCCAUUAAUCCCAUUAAUCCCAUUAAUCCCAAUCCCAUUGAUCCCAAUCCCAUUAAUCCCAAUCCCAUUAAUCCCAAUCCUAAUCCCAUUAAUCCCAUUAAUCCCAUUAAUCCCAAUCCCAUUGAUCCCAAUCCCAUUAAUCCCAAUCCCAUUGAUCCCAAUAUAA
rnacentral:lncRNA from 1 species